ensembl:lncRNA
UGUGGAUGUUAUUAGACACUUCCUGUUUCUCAUUUCUCACCAUAAUUUCAACGCCUCGCCACAAGCAAACCAUUCGAGAUAUCAAAAAUCCCCUGGCAAUUUUGCAUCCCCAAUGUCUUGAGAUCAUGUUGACCAAGUUUGGUGGCAAUCGGGUAAAAAACCUAUGACAAGUAUAUCAAAUUCCAGAGCAUGCACUUUUUACAUAGCUCUAAAUAGCUGACUUCCUGUUGGGCGGAGCCUAUGACAUGCAAUACGAAAGUUGUUCGGCACAAUGAGAUCUAUAUGUGUACUGAGUUUCAUAUGAAUACGUGCAAGUAUGUAUGAUAUAUGGCCCUCCAUAUUCCAGGGGGCGCUGUAGAGCCCCUGUGCCACGCCCGUGUAUCAGUCUCUGCCCGGCCCUAAUGGCCGCAGGUUCCAAUGUGUGUGCCAAUUUUCAAGAGUUUUCGAGUAUGUUAAGGGCCCCAAAAGCCCCCGAGACGUUGGAAAAUAAUAAUAAUAAUAAUAAUAAUAAUAAUAAAUAUAGCUGCAAGCAGCGAUGGCGGGCUCAAGCCAUCAGCGCAAACGCCACCCCGGUGGCAUCAGGUAAACUGUGCCCAGCGGGCACAUGCAUUACAGUAAUCCUCUGGCACUCAGGUUUUAAGGGAUACGGCAAUUAACGGGUUAAUCCGAAGCAUCAAG